CCUUCGCUCAGUCUUGAGGUAACACUUUCCAUGCAUAAGCGUGUGUAAUGCUGGUUGUAUAUCAUGCAUUACAGAUUGCAUGAUAGAAUGUGCAGUAUCACCCGAGCCUGCACAUAACAAUCAGCAUUUGCAUUUCUAUAUAUGAUAUCGAGCACUGAAGUAUAGCUGGUCGGCGGGUAGGAGAAGAAGGAGGGAUAAAGCUAUGAAUUCGAGAAGUUAUGAAACGAAUCCAGAACUAGACACAGAACAGGCAAGGGUUGAUCAGCCGGAGUUAUCAGGUACAGCCACCACAUCAGAUGAUCUCGAGGUAGCAGUCGUUGAGCUACCAAGCAUGCAUAGCCAAGUUGAAGUCAAAGUUGAAGAUCCAAUCUCCAAUGCCAAUGCUCAACAACGGGAAGAAAAGGAAGAAAGUCUGUCGCUUCGUUUACUAUUAUAUAAAGCUGCUUUAAGAGGAGAUUGGAAGGAUGCUGAAACUGCUCUGAGAUUGGACAGAAGAGCGGGUUCCCUUGAGAUAGCAGGACAUGGAGAGAGGCCUCUUCACAUAGCUGCUAUCGCCAAGCAAACUGCAUUUGUCUGCAAGCUAGUCGAAUGCUUGAACAAAGAAGACCUGGAAUUGCCGAAUAAACACGGACAAACAGCUUUCUUUUUUGCAGUCGUGUCAGGGGUUGUAGAGAUUGCCAAGGUCAUGUACGAAAAAAACAAUGCUCUGCCAACAAUUCGUGACGAAAACAAAGUCAGCCCAAUUAAAACGGCAGUUUUGAUGGGAAACAAAAAAAUGGUUGAAUAUCUUUACAAAAUUACACCUCUUCAAAAUUUCAAGGACAAUGAGCGCAUGGACAUUCUUGUUGCAACUAUAGACAUUGGCAUGUAUGAUAUCGUAUUAAACAUAUUGAAAGCAGAUAGAAGUAUAAUCACUUCUCCAGACGUGAACAAAAAAAGGGCUCUGCGUGCAUUAGCUCGAAAACCUUUUUCAUACUAUGGUACAAGUCAAGAAUGGAUACCUGAAAGUCUCGCUAGAAUCGUCCCUUAAAUUCCCUAUUUGUAGGUUUCAAAAGGAUAUAUUGUUCAAUUGAAAAGCGGAGACAAGCCAGUCAGUUGGUAGAGAAGCUUUGUGAACAGAUUCUGACUUUAGAGGAAUCGGAAAUUUUAAACAUAUUUUGCAAGACAUCUAUACUUCAAGAUGCUGCAAAAAUUGGGAACAUUGAGUUUUUGACUCUGCUUGCUAACUCAUAUCCUGAUUUUAUACGGACACACAACAAAAAUAAUAAUUACUCCAUAUUUCAUGUUGCUGUUAUUUACCGACAAGAAAAAGUCUUUAGUCUCAUCUACAGCACAGGAGCUAUUGGAGAUUUAUUGAUGCACAUUAAAGAUGAAUCCGAAAACAACAUUUUGCACUUGGCUGCGAAAUUAGCACCUUCAAGCAGACUCAAUAGUGUAUCUGGAGCAGCUCUUCAAAUGCAGAGAGAGCUAUUGUGGUUUAAGGAGGUGGAGAAGAAUCUACGGCCUUCCUAUCUGCAGGAGAAAAACAAAAAGGGUGAAACACCUAGGGAGUUGUUUACAGAGGAGCAUGAGAAGUUACGGGAAGCUGGUGAGAAGUGGAUGAAGGACACAGCAGCUUCUUGCAUGGUGGUGGCAGCCUUAAUUGCCACAGUUGCAUUUGCUGCAGCCUUUACCGUACCAGGUGGGAAUAAGGAAGAAACAGGCGCUCCAAUUUUCUUGAACAGCAGGUGAUUUACAGUUUUUGUUAUAUCUGAUGCAGUGGCAUUGUUUAGCUCGACAGUUUCCAUAAUGAUAUUCCUGUCUAUCUUAACUUCACGCUAUGGCGAGGAAGAUUUUCUAUAUACAUUACCGGCAAAGUUGAUGGUUGGACUAAUUACACUCUUUGCUUCAAUCGUUUGCAUGGACUUAACAUUUAGUGCAACCUUCUUUUUGGUCUACAAGGAAGAAAAGCAAGGGAUAUUGCCAAGAAUUAUUGCUGGUCUUGCUUUGCUUCCAAUCUCUUUAUAUGCAAUGCUAAAUUUUAAGUUAUGGAUUUCCCUAAUCCACUCAACAAUAUGGGCGUCAAGGUUUAUGUUUCGACCGGUUAAGCACAGGCUUUUCUAAUAAAAGGGUCUACAAUACAUGUUCUAGUAUUUGUUGUUGUUACUAAGAAAAGUGGAGGAGUGGAGAAGCUUUGUUGUUACUUUGUUGUAUUUUCUAAUAGAAGGCCUUGUUUAAGCCUUUGUUUCUUCUAGUUGUACUUUGUCAUUGUAUUUUCUAACAAAAGGCUUUGAUUUUCCAGUGCAAGAGAAGUGGAGAAGCUUUCUAUUUCUUAUUAA